AAGCGAAAGCAUUAAGUAUUCCACCUGGGGAGUACGCCGGCAACGGUGAAACUCAAAGGAAUUGACGGGGGCCCGCACAAGCGGAGGAACAUGUGGUUUAAUUCGAUGAUACGCGAGGAACCUUACCCGGGCUUAAAUUGCACCUGAAUAAUGUGGAAACAUGUUAGCCGUAAGGCAGGUGUGAAGGUGCUGCAUGGUUGUCGUCAGCUCGUGCCGUGAGGUGUCGGCUUAAGUGCCAUAACGAGCGCAACCCUUAUCUUCAGUUACUAACAGGUCAUGCUGAGGACUCUGGAGAGACUGCCGUCGUAAGAUGUGAGGAAGGUGGGGAUGACGUCAAAUCAGCACGGCCCUUACGUCCGGGGCUACACACGUGUUACAAUGGGAGGUACAGAAGGCCGCUACCUGGCGACAGGAUGCCAAUCCCCAAAACCUCUCUCAGUUCGGAUCGAAGUCUGCAACCCGACUUCGUGAAGCUGGAUUCGCUAGUAAUCGCGCAUCAGCCAUGGCGCGGUGAAUACGUUCCCGGGCCUUGUACUCACCGCCCGUC
rnacentral:rRNA from 1 species